rnacentral:rRNA from 1 species
CGGCAGGCCUAACASAUGCAAGUCGAGGGGUAACAGGAAAGCUUGCUUUCGCUGACGACCGGCGCACGGGUGCGUAACGCGUAUGCAACCUACCUCAUACUGGAGGAUAGCCCCUGGAAACGGGGAUUAAUACUCCAUAGUAUCACGAAUUCGCAUGUUUUUGUGAUUAAAGUUUUUCGGUAUGAGAUGGGCAUGCGUCCCAUUAGCUUGUUGGUGAGGUAACGGCUCACCAAGGCAACGAUGGGUAGGGGGCCUGAGAGGGUGGUCCCCCACACUGGUACUGAGACACGGACCAGACUCCUACGGGAGGCAGCAGUGAGGAAUAUUGGUCAAUGGAGGCAACUCUGAACCAGCCAUGCCGCGUGAAGGAUGACGGCCCUAUGGGUUGUAAACUUCUUUUAUAGAGGAAGAAACUUGUCUACGUGUAGACAACUGACGGUACUCUACGAAUAAGGAUCGGCUAACUCCGUGCCAGCAGCCGCGGUAAUACGGAGGAUCCAAGCGUUAUCCGGAUUCAUUGGGUUUAAAGGGUCCGUAGGCGGGUCUUUAAGUCAGUGGUGAAAGCCGACAGCUCAACUGUCGAACUGCCAUUGAUACUGGAGACCUUGAGUACAAAUGAAGUAGGCGGAAUGAGUCAUGUAGCGGUGAAAUGCAUAGAUAUGACUCAGAACACCGAUUGCGAAGGCAGCUUACUAAC